rnacentral:rRNA from 1 species
AGUUCGUGGAGUGAUCUGUCUGCUUAAUUGCGUUUCAAAAUUUAACUUGAGGACCGGGUUUUGGUUUGGCUAGUGGUUCUACGAUGACUGUGAACUGUCAUGUCUUCGGAUGUGCGACUAUUGGUCUAGGAUCACAUGACUUGCCCCUGGGACUCUUUUGAACGCAACGGACGUGAUUGCAACCCCUUGUUGAGAUUAGAGAUAGUCUCGAUAUUCACUGGACAAACUGGCUGCUUUAUGCAGUCUUGUUGAAUGGUGGAUAAACUCGGGGGACUGCUGACUAUAACCAUUUCUCAAAACAGAGGAAGGUUGCGGCAAUAACAGGUCUGUGAUGCCCUCAGAUGUCCCGGGCUGCACACGUGCUACAAUGAGUGGCGCAAUGUGCUAAUGUUUAAGGGAUAAGAGUGUGGUCAGUAGAACGUCGGGAUUUCCCCUGACGUCUCCCCCGCACGAUUAUCAGCCUUCCCUUAACAGGGCGGGCAACCUUUUCAAAAUACUGGUUUGAUGUUAAAGUAUUGAGUCGUUUUUUUUGGAUGGUGGUUUGUUAACCAAUACCAUCCGGCAACUGCUCGCGAGUUUGUGGUUCUGGCGACUCAUGGUGGGAC